AAGUUAAAUGUGCACACAUAGAAGCCAAGUUCUAUGAGGAAGUUCACGAUCUUGAAAGAAAGUAUGCUGUUCUCUAUCAGCCUUUAUUUGAUAAGCGAUUUGAGAUCAUUAAUGCAAUUUAUGAACCUACAGAAGAAGAAUGUCAAUGGAAACUAGAUGAAGAAGAUGAAAUUUCGGAGGAGCUGAAAGAAAAGGCCAAGAUUGAAGAUGA